CUUGCUUUGGUAAUAAAUACAGAUGAUUUCUCAGCGAGAAUUUCUGCAUACCACAUGAUUGUGCUCCUGAUAAAGAGGCCGUGCGUUCCAGGGCAGUCUACAUGGUGGUUUGGGGUGUUCUUUGAUGUCCCAAUCCCCUGGGUUAUGUUUCUGCAUUCUGAAGACCUGCUGUUGGAGCUGUCUGUACCAUUGCAGUGGUUUGGAUGAGAAUGGCCCCCCAUAGAGUCAUGUGUUUGAAGACUUGAUCUCCAGUUGGUGGACAAGUUUAGUAAGGAUUAACAGAUCCACCCCAUCCACAAACAGGACCAGGACAACUCACCACGCUGAUUCCAUCAUUGAGCAGGGCCUCCCCGAAGAUCAUCAUGUAAAGCUGUUCAUUCACACGUGCCUCCUCAAAAACAGCCAGCACAGCCACGGGGUCGACCGCUGAGAUGAGGCUGCCAAAUAGCAGAUUGUGUAGCAGGUUGAUGUCACCAAGG